rnacentral:rRNA from 1 species
GACGAACCGUGCGAACGUUGUUCGGAAUCACUGGGCUUAAAGGGCGCGUAGGCGGGCGAGCAAGUCCGGGGUGAAAUCUUUCGGCUUAACCGGAAAAGUGCCUUGGAUACUGCUCGUCUCGAGGGAGGUAGGGGUCUGUGGAACUUCUGGUGGAGCGGUGAAAUGCGUUGAUAUCAGAAGGAACGCCGAUGGCGAAAGCAACGGACUGGACCUCUUCUAACGCUGAGGCGCGAAAGCCAGGGGAGCAAACGGG